rnacentral:lncRNA from 7 species
AUCAGACUGCUGUUUUUCUUGAGGUUGAAUAGAGGACGGAUGGAGCUGUGGGACAUUUGAUAUCAGCAGAAGACUUUCAUGCAGCAGUCAGCAGACACACCCCAGCACACAUGCAUGCAUGCAGCAGACCUAGCAUGAGAAUCCCAAAAAUAAUUGCAGCUGUAUUCCUCUUCUCAACCUGAGAAAAGUGACCUUAACAAGGCUAUCGUGGAGCUCUCCUGAGGGUGCUUUACACAGUGGAAGGGAACAUGGCUGUGGACUUGUGUGCCUGGAAGCACAAGGGAGAUGUGCAGGAGCCAGCCAUGAUCACUGUAGUGAUGGUGCCCAGUGUAGUAAGAUAUCCAAACUCUUUAAUAAGGCUUUCAGUAGCACAUUCCUUUGAAGUCCUUCAGAGCAUGACAGCAAUUAACUGAAGACUCAUCUUCCCUCAUGUUGUUUUAUCCACUCUCACUCGAGAUCAACACUUCCUCUGAUGGUAGUGCAAAUUCACACCCCCCAGCUACAAGGAGCUUGCAAAACGACCCGGUUACAAUUACAGACACAAUGAGCAGUACCUUCGGUGUUUCUGGGCUCAUUCUGAUUGUUUCUCAUGGCCUCCAUUUUGCAGAUGUAAGACAGUAGGGCAAUCCACCACUGAGUGCAUCCAGCUAAAAAAACUAGCUGCAAUAGGAUUUUCUCCACCUUGAGAGAAAUAAGGAGACAGCGAGCAGCAGAUAGGCAACAGGGAAGCAUUAAUCCAAAAGUGCUCUUGGAAGAAAGUUUUUCAAGGUUUUCUGUUUACUUGUUCCUGUUGUGGUUUUUUUUUUGUCGUUUGUUUUGGGUUUUUUGGUUGUUUUUUGUUUGUUUGUUUUGG